GUUCUUUUUUCUGUCAAUUCACAAAUGAAAAAGUCCAGUGAGAGCAUUUUGUAUAUGCACAUAGUUGUAGCAAAGAGCUGAAGCAUAUUAAUGAAUUUCUCAUGUAUUCAUCAUUGUAUCCCCUUACUGCAGGCUACUGAAGUCUCUGAUUAAGAAAGCAUGGAACCAAAGACAAGAAAACACAAAAAUAACUGGAAAAUUCCCUAUCAUAUGAUGCAAGACUGAAGCGUAAAAAAUUAUAACACAAGGCAGAGAACAUUCCAUUCUCCCAGAGGAUCUCUAAAGGAAUGGAUGAGGAACAACAAUUAAGUAGUGAAGUCUGCUUCACUAUGCACUCUCUGGAUUAUCCUCGUAUCAUCAUGAGCACUUCCCUGUAGCCUCAAAACUACAGAAAAAGACAGAUCAGCAGAUCUUCCCCAUAAAGACACCUUGUGAAGGCUGUGAAGGUAGUAAGUCCUUAUCAGACUCUCUUCCCUUUUCUGUCACACUAUUCUCCCUUUACACUCACUAUUCUUGUCUAAGUAAUUAUAUCAGUUUUCUGGUGACAAGGGGAAUCUCUCUCCUCUUUAUUGUAGAACUUCUUUCAGCAUUACUGUUUCCCUACAAAUAGUCCUUUUCCAUUUCUAGUAUUAUUUCCUCCUGUUAUAUUCCAUAUGUUUUACAUUAUUUUCUCUCAGUGUGUUAGCUUGUGAGACACGUUCUUUCUAGAGUUGCUUUCCCCCCAUGAUUUAGUUGUGUUACUGUUGAUCUGUCUACACUGUUAUUUGUAUCUCCUAACAAAUUAGAAUCAUAUUGUAGCAUUUUACCAUACAAUGAGUAUUUUUACAUCCUUAAUCAGGAAACACGAUGGCUUUGUAUCUGAUCUCAUUGGCAUAGCACAUAGUACUACUUAAUCUCCAGCUUUUUUUUCCUCCUCCUUCCUCUUCCUUUUCCCAGUUUUCUCUGUCUUACUUCUCUGCUGCAUCUUCAAAAAUCCACAUAUGUGCAGAUGUCACUGUGCAUGUAAAAAAAAUUCAUGUCUUGAUCUGGACUACUGUUUCCCUACAAAUCAUGUCUUUUUUAAGGUCAGAUCACUUUAAACUAAUCUGUUCUGCCAAGGAUUAAGACAUCUCCAUUUACAAUUCAUGCAUUGGUCUGUCAGUCACAAGGUUUCUAUUAACCCAUUAUGUUGUCACAGCCCUGAGAUGAUGGGUUUUGUUGGAUUUUUUUUUUCCUGGGUUCUGUG
rnacentral:lncRNA from 1 species